rnacentral:rRNA from 1 species
GACGAACGCUGGCGGCGUGCUUAACACAUGCAAGUCGAACGGAAAGGCCCUGCUUUUGUUGGGUGCUCGAGUGGCGAACGGGUGAGUAACACGUGAGUAACCUGCCCUUGACUUUGGGAUAACUUCAGGAAACUGGGGCUAAUACCGGAUAGGAGCUCCUGCUGCAUGGUGGGGGUUGGAAAGUUUCGGCGGUUGGGGAUGGACUCGCGGCUUAUCAGCUUGUUGGUGGGGUAGUGGCUUACCAAGGCUUUGACGGGUAGCCGGCCUGAGAGGGUGACCGGCCACAUUGGGACUGAGAUACGGCCCAGACUCCUACGGGAGGCAGCAGUGGGGACUAUUGCACAAUGGGCGGAAGCCUGAUGCAGCAACGCCGCGUGCGGGAUGACGGCCUUCGGGUUGUAAACCGCUUUCGCCUGUGACGAAGCGUGAGUGACGGUAAUGGGUAAAGAAGCACCGGCUAACUACGUG